rnacentral:rRNA from 1 species
CCUACGGGUGGCUGCAGUGGGGAAUAUUGGACAAUGGGGGGAACCCUGAUCCAGCCAUGCCGCGUGUGUGAAGAAGGCCCUCGGGUUGUAAAGCACUUUCAGUGAGGAAGAACGCCUGGUGGUUAAUACCCAUCAGGAAAGACAUCACUCACAGAAGAAGCACCGGCUAACUCCGUGCCAGCAGCCGCGGUAAUACAGAGGGUGCGAGCGUUAAUCGGAAUUACUGGGCGUAAAGCGCGCGUAGGUGGCUUGAUAAGCCGGUUGUGAAAGCCCCGGGCUCAACCUGGGAACGGCAUCCGGAACUGUCAAGCUAGAGUGCAGGAGAGGAAGGUAGAAUUCCCGGUGUAGCGGUGAAAUGCGUAGAGAUCGGGAGGAAUACCAGUGGCGAAGGCGGCCUUCUGGACUGACACUGACACUGAGGUGCGAAAGCGUGGGUAGCAAACAGGAUUAGAUACCCCAGUAGUC